rnacentral:lncRNA from 1 species
GAUUUGAGUUUUGAAUGUAGGAGCAGAGUUACCUGAAUAUAUGGAGUUGAUGGAGACAUUCCUUGAUGAGGAGCAGAAAUUCCCCAGGGACCUUGUAAAUCUGAAGCAGAUAAAGGGAAAUGAAGAAACCAAGUUUUACAACUUUGAUGAGUGGCAAAAUUUGUCAAUAAGAGCUAGAUAUUAAGCAAUUAGCUUUUAGGAAGCAAAGUGUAUUGGACUUGGCUAUGAUAUGAAGGAAUUCAUUUAAUAAGCGAAGCAUGAAUCUCCUAAUCAGCAGAAAAGGGAGGACAGCCGGAGACAAUCGUAUUCCUGAUCGAUACUGAUGUAAACUUGUGCUGGAACA